GAUGAACGCUGGCGGCGUGCCUAAUACAUGCAAGUCGAGCGAAUGGAUUAAGAGCUUGCUCUUAUGAAGUUAGCGGCGGACGGGUGAGUAACACGUGGGUAACCUGCCCAUAAGACUGGGAUAACUCCGGGAAACCGGGGCUAAUACCGGAUAACAUUUUGAACCGCAUGGUUCGAAAUUGAAAGGCGGCUUCGGCUGUCACUUAUGGAUGGACCCGCGUCGCAUUAGCUAGUUGGUGAGGUAACGGCUCACCAAGGCAACGAUGCGUAGCCGACCUGAGAGGGUGAUCGGCCACACUGGGACUGAGACACGGCCCAGACUCCUACGGGAGGCAGCAGUAGGGAAUCUUCCGCAAUGGACGAAAGUCUGACGGAGCAACGCCGCGUGAGUGAUGAAGGCUUUCGGGUCGUAAAACUCUGUUGUUAGGGAAGAACAAGUGCUAGUUGAAUAAGCUGGCACCUUGACGGUACCUAACCAGGAAGCCACGAA
rnacentral:rRNA from 1 species